AGUCAAUAGAUACCCGGGUAGUCCACGCCGUAAACGAUGAACACUAGGUGUGGGUGAUGUCAAAAAAAUCAUCCGUGCCGCAGCUAACGCGUUAAGUGUUCCGCCUGGGGAGUACGGUCGCAAGGCUAAAACUCAAAGGAAUUGACGGGGGGCCCGCACAAGCAGCGGAGCGUGUGGUUUAAUUCGAUGCAACACGAAGCACCUUACCUGGGUUUGACAUGCACGUAGUAGUGAAGCGAAAGCGGAACGACUCUUCGGAGAGCGUGCACAGGUGCUGCAUGGCUGUCGUCAGCUCGUGUCGUGAGAUGUUGGGUUUAAGUCCCGCAACGAGCGCAACCCCUAUGGCUAGUUACACGUGUCUAGCCAGACGGCCGGUCGCAAACCGGAGGAAGGUGGGGAUGACGUCAAGUCAGCAUGGCCUUUAUAUCCAGGGCAACACACACGCUACAAUGGGCCGUAUAAUGGGCAGCGAAGGGGUCGACCUGGAGCGAAUCCCAACAAAGCGGUUCGUAGUUCAGAUUGCAGG
rnacentral:rRNA from 1 species